AGUACUAGAUAAAAAUACUUUCACUUCUACAAUCUGGGAGUUCCCCAGGAACAAAUCAGCACAUUCUUUGUUAACUAUCAAAUAGAUUUAUUAUAGGAAGUGCCUAUAAAUACUGAUUUCUAUGCACAUGGCCUUUCAGAAAUUCUUCAGCUCUCAUAACACACUGAGAUUAAAAAGUAACAGCCAACCCCAACAUCGUGAACCAAAGUGCUACCCUUUGUGCAACUCUCCUCUUUUGCUGGCUCUUGUUUAUUCUGCCUAGGAUUCAAGGAUACCCACUUUCGAGAAAUAUACUUUGUUGAUACAUCAAAUCUAUGGUGUUAUCCCCAAUGUGAAAUCCUUACAAAAACUUGAAUUCCUGCAAGUUCUUCAUGUCCACAUACUGAGAUCAUGUCUAAAAGAAGCUUCUAAUCAGAAAUAGAGAUUGCCAAGUAGCUCAUGAGAUGAUGGACCAGAAUGUGAUCAAAUAUGACUUUUUUCCUUUAUGACUGUCAAGUAAUAAGAGUUGCUAUAUAAAUUAAAAAUCAGCAUUUAUAUCGUGUUUUAAAGUUUACAAAAUACUUUACCAUUUGAUCCUCACAAUAACUCUGUGAGGUAGGUGCUAUUAUUAUUAUACAAAAGAAGCUAUUCAUUUGAGAUUAAGGGACUUCAAACUUCCAGCCAAGAUGGUGGAGAGGAGGCACACAGCUACUUAAACUCUACGUUUUACCUCAGAAUUUAUUGCAUGACAAGCCUCAGAAUUAAUGCUUGACUGAAACCCCCCCCCACAAAUAAUUAUCAUUGAGAUUGCUUAAAUUUUGCUCACAAUUAUUGCUUAAUUUUCCUCAUCAAAAUGAUCUGCAGAAGGAAAUGCAAACCACUCCAGAACUUUUGCCACGAAAACGCCAAGUGGGAUCAAGAAGAAUCAAACAAGACUGAAAUGAGUGAACAACAACACAUUCUUUAUUCAGUGUCACAUGGGUUCCAAAUAUUGGUCUAGGCACCAGAGAUAAAAACACAAAAAUCAAGCAUUCUUUCUUUAAAGGAGCUUCCAUUCUAUUGGGAGAAACAGCAUGAACACAGCUAAGUACAAAAUAUAUGGAAAGUGUAUACAAAGUGCUUGCUGGCAGGAGAGGAGAGGGCAGGAAUCAGAAUAAACUGUGACAUUUGGUCUGAAUCUUGAAGGAAGCUAAGGAUUCUGGGACAGAAAUAAGGAGAGAAAGCCUGCCAAGAUUAAAGAAAGUGUGAACAAAGCCAUAAGAAGAGUAGAUUUAAUGUCUUGCAUAGAGAAUGGCAAGUGGGACAGUUUAUCAAAUGUAGAAUGCACAAAAAAAGAAGGAAAAGUGAACUAAAGCCAAAUUAAUCACCUCAAACAAAGAAAUUUACAUUUUGUCUUCAAAGCAACUGGGAGACUUGAAGCAUUUUGAACAGGAGAGUGAUGGUUCUGAGUUUUAAUAUUAUUAGUUUGGCAGCUAUAUUGAGGUUGGAUUGAAUGCAUGAAAAUCAACUACCCAGCUAUUGGAAUAAUCCAAGGCAAAAGGUGAUCAGGAAGAGGAAGAGCCAAGAUGAUGGAGAAAGAAGAAAGAAGCUAUGCUUUAUCCCACAACUUUUCAUAACAAAUCUAGAAAAUGUGUCAGAAGGCUGAGCUAAUAUAAUAAAAAUGAUAAUACUACCUAAAUUAAUCUACUUAUUCAGUGCCACGUCAAUCAAAUU